GCCCGCUUAGCUCAGUGGUAGAGCGCAUCACUAGUAAUGAUGAGGUCAGAGGUUCGACUCCUCUAGCGGGCA
rnacentral:tRNA from 1 species